rnacentral:siRNA from 1 species
UAGACGCGAUUUCCAAGCUCCA